UGCCACGAUAUUGCCAAUCCACAAAAUUGCAAUAUAUCGGCGGAAUGUCCUUCAAAUGAUCAUAAAUGUAUCUCCGUUAAAUCGUAUACUGAUGAUUUUCGACUUGUUUACAAAUUGGGAUGUGCUCCGUCAACGAUUUGCAGUGGAGCACACUGUUGCAGUACUGAUUUAUGUAACAACCACUCGAGCAAAAAACGAAGCUCGAAAAAAAGGAACCCAAAGACACAAGAUAUGUCGGCAUUUAGCAGACGACAGACUCUGUCCGCCGCUUGUGCCGACGUCGACAAUCUUGCGUGCACGCUUCUGUUUACGUCAAAUACUGACAUCUGUCAGGAUGAUUGCAUCGCCAACGUUAUUUGUCCUCGACUGUGUGGAAAAUGCACUGAAUGUUAUGACUGUGAUCACGUAUUAACAACAGAAAGAUGUAAUCACUCUAGAAUAUGCAAAGCAGGAGAGGUUUGUUUCACUGUAGAAACCUUGAACUUUGAUCUCGAACAUGGAUACAGGAUGGGAUGUGUUCAUCAAAGUAUUUGCGAUAGCAUUUCCACUCAAGUUGGUCAUGUUUUUGGACGACGAGCUGAUCCUAUUGAGAUUUCAAUGACCGGGGGAUGUUGUCAUGGCGACCUGUGCAACCAUCACAAGUUAACCCCCGUUGCCAUGUCAACAAAUCCACCAAUGACAACAGUGCCUACCAUUCCAACAACCACAGCAAAAACUUGCACAUUGAUUUCUGGAUGCCCCGUCUAUUCGUCAGCGAGGUACAAUGGUCAGUGUUACUUUUUAGGAAGUUCCAUGAUGACAUGGCUUGACGCUAAGGCAUUUUGUGAAUCACAUUGCAGUCAUUUAGCUGUAUUUCGGGACCAGAAUGACAUGCGCCAUGCUAUGGAUGCUGUCAGUCAUGAUGACGUCAUUUCGAGUUUACCAAUCGUUCACCGGCACGAUUUACCAGAUUUGUACGUUGAUGCGGUAAACCCCGCCCAUUCUGACCAGUUCAUGUGGUCAACUACCUUAGAGUUUGUACCUAGCUCGCUGUUUGACAAUCCUCUUUCCAAUCACCUGUACAACUGUGCCUUUGUCCACAACAGGAAACAGUUGGAGGGUACCAGUUGUGCCGCACGGUUAUAUCCCUUGUGCCAAUCCACAAUACAAUAAAUCGACGAUUUG
rnacentral:misc_RNA from 1 species